rnacentral:rRNA from 1 species
CCUACGGGAGGCAGCAGUGGGGAAUAUUGCGCAAUGGGCGAAAGCCUGACGCAGCGACGCCGCGUGAGGGAUGAAGGUCUUAGGAGCGUAAACCUCUGUCAGCAGGGAAGAACGGUCACUGUGCUAAUCAGCAGUGAAUUUACGGUACCUGCAAAGGAAGCACCGGCUAACUCCGUGCCAGCAGCCGCGGUAAUACGGAGGGUGUGAGCGUUAAUCGGAAUUACUGGGGGUAAAGCGCUCGUAGGCGGUAGGUCAAGUCAAGGGUGAAAUCCCCGCGCUCAACGUGGGAACUGCCUUUGAAACUGGCAAACUGGAGUGUGUGAGAGGAUAGUGGAAUUCCUGGUGU